CCCUUAGAUGUUCUGGGCCGCACGCGCGCUACACUGACAUGUUCAACAAGCCUCCUAGUUCGACAGGAUUUGGGAAAUCUUUGAACGCAUGUCGUGAUAGGGAUAGAUCAUUGCAAUUAUUGAUCUUGGACGAGGAAUUCCUAGUAAACGCGAGUCAUCAGCUCGCAUUGAUUACGUCCCUGCCCUUUGUACACACCGCCCGUCGCACCUACCGAUUGAAUGUUUCGGUGAAGAUUCCGGAUAGGACUUUUUUGAUUUAUUUCAAUUCUGUCUUAAAAGCUAUCUAAACCUCAACAUUUAGAGGAAGGUGAAGUCGUAACA
rnacentral:rRNA from 1 species